UAGAUCUUAUACUUUAUUUUUUGGUGCAUCUGUAGCAGAACUUUAUAUUUUAAUCUAAAAGAAGAAAUGGAAUAGCAGUUUCUCAUUUUAAUUAUCCUAUAGUUUAAAGUGUAUUACUUUACUAUCUUAUGAUUUUUUUUUUUCUGUGAGCCCUUAUUAAUUUCUCUGUAAAAGUAUAUAGAAAAAACUUUAGAUACCUUCCUGCUUUUUAUCAAAUUUUCAUUAAUAUUCUAUUGUUUUUAACUUUAUCACUUAUUUACUGAUAAAGUAAAUGGAGAGGGACACGGCCACAAAAUACUAAAGUGACAUAUUUUAAACUAAAUGAUACUAAAUAAAAAGUGCUAAACCAUCGGAGAAUAUUCGAAGCUUUUUCAAAAAAAAAAGACAAUCACAUUUUUAACCUAAAAAGGUAAAAUAAAAUAAAAAACAAUGGGAGUAAGGAUUUAAGGGACGUGACAUCAAGUCAUGCCGGAAACUUAUUGGCACUGUACGGCUCGAUGCAUGCAGAAUCAUGUCGAUGUGUGCCGAUCACAAAAAAUAUAAAUGUGCUGACACAUAACGGUAUGAACUAUUUAUUUUUUUUAGAAAUAAAAUAUUCUAGCUAAUUGUAUAUUAUGUAUUUUUAUCAAAUAUUUUAAACUUUAUUAAAAAAUAGACGGUUUUGAGCUAAUGUCAUCGGCACGAAUACUGUAUCGUGCUGAUAUUUUACUGGCACGAAACGACACGACGGAUCCGAUCCGUGUUGAUGUACACUUUAAAUUCUUACACAGUAGCACAAAAUUUUAACAGU
rnacentral:lncRNA from 1 species